UUACAGAGGGCCGCGUUCUUCCACCCGCCGCCUCAGCGUUCCCUAUUGGCCGGGCGGAUCAUCAAUCUCGCGCGAGAGAGGCGGAGAUAGCAGAGAUCUGUGAAAUGACUGGUCAGACUUUCUAUCAAUCCUCGAGCUGAGGAUGGUAUCUGCCUUAUUAUUGGUGAAAGGGCCCGCCGACUUUGAAAGCGGUAUGGAGACAGCCAGUUGAUUGGUCGCUCGGAGGCUUUAUGGUAAACGAGACUUCAGCAAUGGGGAACUGCCGGCGCCCUCUCGCGGCCAUGCCGACAGUCUCCCUUCGCCGGCGCUGUUUUCCGCCAGCCCUCUUUCAUGCCUGACCUCGCGAGAUGCACAUGUGCUCUACCUCCUCCGGGGCACCUCACCUGACAGAUUGCUGGUUCCCCGCACUGCCCCAGAGCAGGAGCUAUUUAAAAGGGGAUGUUUCAAUGCUGCAAUACCAAGAAGUAAGCAAGCAAUAUCGAAGGACUGCUGCAGCUUCUCUGUCACAGGUUGCCUGGGUUUGGAUCCUGGAUCUGCCUUUUACCUGCUGCAUAAUUUGGGACAAUUUAUUUCCACUCCUUGUUCCAAAGUUUCCCCAUCUUAAAAUGGGAAUAAUAAUUGUAUCUCCGCAGAGUUUCUGUGGGGGUUAAAUGAAUGUAAGCCCGUUUAAAGUGUUUAGAACAGGGCUCAUAGUAAGUGCUCAAUAAAAAUUAGCUAUUACCAUUUCUAUAAAUAUAAUAUUUUUUCUUAUUUGACCUCCUCUUGCUGUCUUUCUCCCUCAUGUCUGAAUCUUUCUCUCUGUUUUACCUGGCUCUCUCUGUUGCAUAUACUGCUCUCAAUUUUCUCAUAGGUUAGCUAAGUAAUAAAUACAAAGUAUUAGUCUGAUGUCCAAUUCA